UGGUGGCUUUUGGGAAGCAAUGUUAAAUCAAACUGUUGCAGUCCCUGCCCCAGAGUGCUUGCAUUUAAACACUCACCUUCUGGCUCCAAGCUUCCAUUGAAUCUGACUUAGUCUAAGGGAGCUGAUGAAACUGCACAGUCCAAGGUAAACCCUAGUGCAGUGGCAACUUUUACUCUGACACCUUUUAUUAAAUAUGUGUGUGCCUUUGGUGGGAGAUUUGCAAAGGGGGUGAAUAACACAAUAUUGUACACCAAGUGAUUGUACCAGUGUGCUUCUAUAUCCUGUCCCUGAGCCCUUUCACUCUCCCCUGCUUUUUAUCAUGGUUGUGUGUGUGCCUGAGCUCUGCUCCGUUGAAUGAUCUGUACACAAGGGUGGGUCACGACAGGAGAGGGAUAUGCUACCAGUCUUCAGUAGGAAAGACUAGUCUGAGAUGCUGAACUCC